UAAACCGUACUGAAAACCGACACAGGUGGUCAGGUAGAGAAUACUCAGGCGCUUGAGAGAACUCGGGUGAAGGAACUAGGCAAAAUAGCACCGUAACUUCGGGAGAAGGUGCGCUGGCGUAGGUUGUAGGAGUAUACCUCCGAAGGCUGAACCAGUCGAAGAUACCAGCUGGCUGCAACUGUUUAUUAAAAACACAGCACUCUGCAAACACGAAAGUGGACGUAUAGGGUGUGAUGCCUGCCCGGUGCUGGAAGGUUAAUUGAUGGUGUAAUCGAAAGAGAAGCUCCUGAUCGAAGCCCCAGUAAACGGCGGCCGUAACUAUAACGGUCCUAAGGUAGCGAAAUUCCUUGUCGGGUAAGUUCCGACCUGCACGAAUGGCAUAAUGAUGGCCAGGCUGUCUCCACCCGAGACUCAGUGAAAUUGAAAUCGCCGUGAAGAUGCGGUGUACCCGCGGCUAGACGGAAAGACCCCGUGAACCUUUACUAUAGCUUGACACUGAACAUUGAAUUUUGAUGUGUAGGAUAGGUGGGAGCCUAAGAAGCAGUCACGCCAGUGAUUGUGGAGGCGUCCUUGAAAUACCACCCUUUAACGUUUGAUGUUCUAACGAAGAUUGCGAAACGCGGUCUCGGACAGUGUCUGGUGGGUAGUUUGACUGGGGCGGUCUCCUCCCAAAGAGUAACGGAGGAGCACGAAGGUUUGCUAAUCACGGUCGGACAUCGUGAGGUUAGUGCAAUGGUAUAAGCAAGCUUAACUGCGAGACAGACAAGUCGAGCAGGUGCGAAAGCAGGUCAUAGUGAUCCGGUGGUUCUGAAUGGAAGGGCCAUCGCUCAACGGAUAAAAGGUACUCCGGGGAUAACAGGCUGAUACCGCCCAAGAGUUCAUAUCGACGGCGGUGUUUGGCACCUCGAUGUCGGCUCAUCACAUCCUGGGGCUGAAGUAGGUCCCAAGGGUAUGGCUGUUCGCCAUUUAAAGUGGUACGCGAGCUGGGUUUAGAACGUCGUGAGACAGUUCGGUCCCUAUCUGCCGUGGGCGUUGGAGAAUUGAGAGGGGCUGCUCCUAGUACGAGAGGACCGGAGUGGACGCAUCACUGGUGUACCAGUUGUCUCGCCAGAGGCACUGCUGGGUAGCUAAAUGCGGAAGAGAUAAGUGCUGAAAGCAUCUAAGCACGAAACUCGCCUUAAGAUGAGUUCUCCCACACAAUAAGUGUGUAAGGGUUGUUGGAGACGACGACGUAGAUAGGUCUGGUGUGUAAGCGGUGUGAGCCGUUGAGCUAACAGAUACUAAUUGCCCGAGAGGCUUAACUAU
rnacentral:rRNA from 1 species